rnacentral:rRNA from 1 species
GACGAACGCUGGCGGCGUGCUUAACGCAUGCAAGUCGAACGGAAAGGCCCUGCUUUUGUGGGGUGCUCGAGUGGCGAACGGGUGAGUAACACGUGAGUAACCUGCCCUUGACUUUGGGAUAACUUCAGGAAACUGGGGCUAAUACCGGAUAGGAGCUCCUGCUGCAUGGUGGGGGUUGGAAAGUUUCGGCGGUUGGGGAUGGACUCGCGGCUUAUCAGCUUGUUGGUGGGGUAGUGGCUUACCAAGGCUUUGACGGGUAGCCGGCCUGAGGGGGUGACCGGCCACAUUGGGACUGAGAUACGGCCCAGACUCCUACGGGAGGCAGCAGUGGGGAAUAUUGCACAAUGGGCGGAAGCCUGAUGCAGCAACGCCGCGUGCGGGAUGACAGCCUUCGGGUUGUAAACCGCUUUCGCCUGUGACGAAGCGUGAGUGACGGUAAUGGGUAAAGAAGCACCGGCUAACUACGUG